AGUGAACGCUGGCGGUAGGCCUAACACAUGCAAGUCGAACGGCAGCACAGUAAGAGCUUGCUCUUACGGGUGGCGAGUGGCGGACGGGUGAGGAAUACAUCGGAAUCUACUUUUUCGUGGGGGAUAACGUAGGGAAACUUACGCUAAUACCGCAUACGACCUACGGGUGAAAGCAGGGGAUCUUCGGACCUUGCGCGACUGAAUGAGCCGAUGUCGGAUUAGCUAGUUGGCGGGGUAAAGGCCCACCAAGGCGACGAUCCGUAGCUGGUCUGAGAGGAUGAUCAGCCACCCUGGAACUGAGACACGGUCCAGACUCCUACGGGAGGCAGCAGUGGGGAGUAUUGGACAAUGGGCGCAAGCCUGAUCCAGCCAUACCGCGUGGGUGAAGAAGGCCUUCGGGUUGUAGAGCCCUUUUGUUGGGAAAGAAAAGCAGCAGGUUAAUACCCCGCUGUUCUGACGGUACCCAAAGAAUAAGCACCGGCUAACUUCGUG
rnacentral:rRNA from 1 species